GGGGACCUUCACAGUACCCACGAGCUGCUGAGGAGUCUAGAUGAUUGCAGAUGAUUGCCACAUUCUGUUCAGCAAGAACCGAGCACCCACAAAUGGACACAAGGCCAGGUCAGUGGAAGACCCUAGCAACAUGGUGACCAGAAGGUCUGUUACAUUUCCCAGAAUGGUUCCCAGCGCUGGAGAUAAUUCCUUUUCGGAGAACCUACAUUUCUCACCUGCUGAUUGCAAUUAGCCACUGCCAGCUGGGGCCUGGUGUGCAGCUGAAAAGCUAACAAGAAGUGGAGACCACGCGGAACCCAGGCAGGGCAGAGGAUGUGAAUAAAUAAGGAAUAGUGCCCGUGUGCAGGAGACACUCCCGUGAAUUCAAGGUUUCCCGACCCCCUGGAUGGCCCUCCCUCUUCUGGCUCUGUGCUCCCCCCCCCCUCACUAUUUCUCUUUAUUUGUAUUUGUAUUUUUUUGUCUCUGGCUUUGUAGCCUACACUUAACAUCACAGUCACGAAUUUACCACUAAGUACAUUUUGUUAGGCAAUAAACAGCCUUGGAAGAAAAAUGAAA